rnacentral:lncRNA from 10 species
UGGGAGCUUAAGGGCGCCGGCACGCGUUCCCCUGGCGCAGAGCUCGCUAGCCGGGGCGCGGGCUGCCUCCUUGUUCUGGUGUGAUCCGAAUGUAACGGAGCGGACUUUGGGAUCCAGAACCCCGGACUGAGGUUGUGCUUGGCUUGAGGGGCGGGCUGGAUUUUUCCUCUUAGGAUUUAUUUCCCUGGAGACCUCAUGAAGAAUGAUGUGGGUUCUAUAGGGUACAGUGUGAUCUGGGUCCUGCCUAAUCUCCUUUCUAAACUUCAGAAAAUCAUGUACCUUGGAGUUGUGGAGGCAUGUUUAUAAGCAGAUCUGAGUUUUGCCACACUGGAAUUUAUUUAUUCAUUGAACAAAUAUUUAAUACCUACUACAAUUCUUAGCCGAUAUAUCAGCACAACUUCUCUGCUCCAACUAGUCUACAUUGCAAAGCAUCUCCUAGUGUCUUUGGAAGAAGGAUCUAUGGUGUUAUAUGUGAACAAAGAUGUAGACUAGUAAGGUAUCAAGAUUUGAUGGGGAUAUCCAGACAACUUGGAGCCAAGUCCCCACAGCUGGAUCAGACAACUUUUGGUGACAUCUCACAGUGUGGAUUAUCAAGCCAGUGUAUCAGUCUGGAGCCUAGGUUUUUUGCCUUUAGCUUUGCUCAGGAUGACUUCUGCUCUUCUAUGGCAAUACUUGAGAAGCUACAGCUUUGAUUAGACGAGAGGCUAUUUCAAUAACUUUCUCCUGAUAAGAAGACCACCGACCGUGGACGGAUUCUGGCCAGUUUACAAAGGCUGCAUACCAUAGGGCAGGGCACCCCACUAUGGCAAACACUAAUAAUGAUAUUGCUCCUGAUUUUGUUUCUGAAGGGAAUGCCUCUAAGAUUUCUUCAUUAAUUAUAAGAGACUGGGUCUCACUCUGUUGCCC